UACCCUUAUAGUUACUGAAACAGAUUCAGUUGCUGAAGACUCAUGGAGGAUCGCCCACAAUUAUUUCAAAUUAAUCAUUUCAAAGAGCCCAUUGCAAAUUAUAGUUCAUUCUUUAUUCACCCUGUCCUUUCUAUUAGAUUCCAAUACUUAAUCAUAAUCAGUCCACUAAUGUGUUUAUCCUGAAAACUCUCCCAGGCCUCCAUCUGGCCCAAGGUUAAAUGAGUCUUGUCUUCAUAAAAUACUAAAGGUCAGGUGAUUCUCAUGCCAAAUUAUGUAGGCAAGACAGACAAAUCCAGAAUUGUGAUUAAAACAAGUUAACAGUAUACAGCAUCCCACAGCACAGGCAGGAUUACAGGGCCACUUAUUCAUAAGCUAUAGUCAAAAUAAAGAGUUAUGCUUUUGUGCUAGAAAUCAAAUGGAGAGAACAACUGCCAAUGUACAGCUUGAAGAAUUUCAUCACUUCAUAUAUGUAGUGCUGCCCAUACAUGACAAAGCUUAUACCUUUAAAUGUGCAGGUGAAAGUGACUGUGAGCCAUGCACUGAAAUGCCUACAACAACUUCCCUCAAGAGCUGGUAUUUCAGACUUACAUCACCUACUUCAAAAACCCCCAAAUAUUUCCUAGCUAAAGGACAAGAACCAAAGUGAGUUGUUUCACUCAUCUCCCCACACCAGGAAACAGCUAAAAUGAGAUAAGGAGGCUAAAAUAAAAUAAAAUUAUUUAAUUUUGGUCAGCUUUGGGACUGGAACUACAGAGACAGGGGAGCACAGAGCUUCAGCCAAGAAACACAGACUGUUCAUGGCUGUCCCUGGAGCUGAAGAUGCUGUUGAUACACAAGAGUUCUUCUUGGCCUUGACACCGUUGGUCAUCGUCACUCCACCGCCACCAGCCAUCCCUGCUAAGAGGUCAUCGUUACUCUUAGUCUGAAAGAAAGGAAAGAAGCAGCUUUAAGACAGCUGGCUCAGAAGUCUGCAUAGCCAACAUUUCAACUGUUAAAGAUUCCUUCACUUUAAAAAGUAUGUAUUGGACAAGUCAUGUGCCUAUGCAAGAAUGCUGAAGAGUGUAAGUGCACUGCCCUGUGCAGUCAGUAAACUGAAAUGGAACUUUAACUCUUACAUAUAA